rnacentral:tRNA from 1 species
AAAAAGUUAGUUAAAUUAUAACAUAAAUAUGUCAUAUUUAUAUUAUUAGUUAAAUCUAGUACUUUUUG